rnacentral:rRNA from 1 species
UACGUAGGGGGCUAGCGUUGUCCGGAUUUAUUGGGCGUAAAGAGCGUGCAGGCGGCCAGAUAGGUCUGCUGUGAAAACUCGAGGCUCAACCUCGAGAUGUCGGCGGAAACCAUUUGGCUAGAGUCCGGAAGAGGAGAGUGGAAUUCCUGGUGUAGCGGUGAAAUGCGCAGAUAUCAGGAAGAACACCCGUGGCGAAGGCGGCUCUCUGGGACGGUACUGACGCUGAGACACGAAGGCCAGGGGAGCAAACGGG